UUUUUUUCAAAGUACAAAUUCACAAUAUUAUUUAGCAUGUUCUGCUUCUAAAAGUUAGCAUUUUGGUGGGAGAGUGCCCCACAAGGCCACACAGGCUGGAGGCAUAUUACAAGGGCAUAUCCUAUUAAAAACAAAUACCUAGCUUUGCGCAAGAAAUUAAAUGCUACCAUCAUGAUACAACAUAGCAGCUGAUUUAACAAAACCAGCUGCUAUAUAACUAUCGAGGGCAACACUAGACAGCUCGGAAUACAAUACAGAUAAAUCACAUACCAAAGUCAGAAGAAACCAGAUGCGGUAAGACAGCUUUUGGGUUUGCAAACUCUUGAUUCAAUCAUCUGCAAUAAAUAGAAAGUCGGUGGCAAGCAUCAAGAAAUGAUCUUUCCAUUCACCAGGA
rnacentral:misc_RNA from 1 species